rnacentral:misc_RNA from 1 species
CUUGGUUAUUUAGAGGAAGGAGAAGUCGUAACAAGGUUUCCGUAGGUGAACCUGCGGAAGGAUCAUUAACGUGCUUAAUUGCAAAAAAAACCAAAACAAAACGACCGUGAACUUCAAACCCCGUAUGUCUUUGUGGUGCAUACUAUCUUUUUGGUGGUAUACAUCACUCCCACAACUACAUUCACCCCCAAAACCAUUUACGAAAACCAUUCAAUCUGAAUUUUGCGAAAGCAAAUAAAUAAUAAUUGACGACUUUCAACGGCGGAUCUCUAGGCUCGU